GAAGAACACAGUGAAAUGUGAUACGUAAUGUGAAUUGCAUAAUUCAGUGAAUCAUCGAAUCUUUGAACGCACUUUGCACCUUUUGGUUAUUCCGAGAGGUACGCCUGUUUGAAUG
rnacentral:rRNA from 1 species